GGUAUCAAAGUAAUUCGAUCAAAUUAGAGGCGUAAACCCUUGAAGAUUAGACUUGACGAUUUUCGUUAAUAGGCGGGAUCGGUUGUGACUUUUGGGGGGAUCGGUUGUGUGUUACGUCGAUUGAGGUCAAUAGGCGGUAAAUACGAGAAGAUAUACACGCCGAUUUUAUGAUCUGAUAGAAUUAAGCGGGAUCGGUUUUGUUUUUUUGGGGGGGAACGGUUGUGUGAUACAUGUGUAAUCGACGAUUGAGGUUAGUAGGCAGCAAAUUAGAAAAAAUAUACCCGCCCAAUUUAUGAUCAGAUAGAGAUUUGAGCGGGGUUAGUGAUUUUCUUAUCCAAUUUAUGAUACAUGUGUAAUCGACGAUCGGUUAUGAUUUUUCACAGUUGUUUCGGCAUUGAUGAUCUUUCAAUAUCUUCUUAAGGGUAUUUUAUUUAUCUAUUCUCAGUCAAUUCUCACUUAUUUGCUGUUAGCUGAUUAUCAGUUGUGAGUCGAUAGAUUACCAUCAUAAAAAGUGGUCAAUUUGUUCAAUUUGAAUUUUGUAUAUCGAUAUCUUAGUUGAGUGUCAAUUAUUUAUGAAAUUUGAUUUUACAAACUAAGAUUGUGAAGUGGAAACUAUAAUUUAACAGAUUAUGCAAUAUCUCUAGAUCACUAAUUUCAGUGUUAAUGGAUACUAUGUUACUCAUAUAGGGAGGUUCAAACAAUAUCGGCACCUUCUUGUGACUAACACAUGUUUCAUAUUGAUUUUCCUCAUAUACUUUCAUCAUAAACUCCAAUCGGUUAAUGACCAUACUUUUAUUUAGAUUACUUUCUUCAGCAACUACAUCAACAUCUACCUCCAACUUGUCAGGAACAUUAUCAUCAGCAUCCUCAUAUGAAAGCAAAUUAAAUGAAGGCAUUGAUUCUAAAAAUUUAACUUUCUUCCUUGAUCUGAUGCUUAUAAUUAUUUUAGUUUUAUAUUCAUAUCAAUAUUAUAAUUAUAUUGGCAUUUAUGGGAUUCUAAAUUUCAUAAAGAAUUGCCAUAUUUCUCUCUUGACAUAUCUUCUGGAAAAUAAUGUGUUAUCAUCCAUUACUAGUCGACCCAGAAGAGUAAUCAGAAAACCCAACAGAUACUUGCAUUAAUUCUGGCUCUUAGUAAUUCAAUCAGUUACAUAUGAUGUCUUUUAAUUCCAAAAAUGUUGUGUUAUGCAGUUAACUAUGCAAAAAGUACUUUAUAAAAAACUAACAUUUUGAUAUAUAUGCACAAGGAUAUUUAUUAUCGAUGGAUAGUGGACAGUCUUUGAUAUCUACGCAAAGGGAUGGUACUGUCAAAGUAUUUAAUUGUAUGUGUUUACUAAUUGGUCAUUUCAGUUCAUUUAGUACUGUUUUGAAAGUUUGAUGAAUAAUUGUAGUUGCUCUUACUUAUCAGAUUUCAGUGGAAGAAAUUUAAGACUUGAUUUCGAACAAAAGGUCUCAAUUAUAUGUGUGGUUUUUUCUGCUUGUUUGAAGCACUAGCUAGUAGUAGGAUGUACUAUUAUAUUAACCAAAACAUACCAGAUAUACUAUUUUAUAUUAAGAAAAGAAAGAUAUUUUAACACACUAAAAGAUAUUUUUUGUUUUAAUCAAGCUUGAGUAUAUGUAGGUUUAUUUUAUGAUACAUAGUUAUGUAUAUAUAAUUUUUAAAUUUUAUUCAAGCUUAUUGUAUGUCGUUAUUAAUUUUUGAUUUGAGUUCGAUUAACUAAUUGUUGGAUUUCUGCACAUCAUUAUAUAUAAAUUGUUCAUUUAUAAAUAUCAAGUUGAUGAAUAUGCUAUAGUAAACUCUAGUAUUUUCAUGUUUUCGUUGAAGUAUUCUUAUAAAUUGAUUGAUGUAGGUGAAGAAGAUCAAUUGUGUGAUUAUAAUCAUAUCAUGACACCCAAACCUUCAGGAAAAAGUGAAAAAUGUUCUGGAUUUGAAUCUUCUCCUUCAUAUAGUUUCCUUAGCCCAGGAGUAUUAAAGGAAAUAGAUGAAAUCAUAUACAGAAGAACCAAAAAGAAACUUGAAUUCAUGGAUGAAAAUUCUACAGGAACAGGAAUUGAUAUUUGCAGUUCAGCUUCUAGUCUUUGUUCUCCGUAUAUGAACAAAAUAGUUUCAAUUAGAAGCAAGAUUACUGAUAUUGAGAUUGAUAUUUGCAAGUCAAUAUUAUGUUCAAAUAGAAAUCUUCGGUAAUGUGAAUGUUAUAAUAUUAUCAUAAUUUUUAUUUUAAUAUUAGCUGAUUUUUUUAUUUAAUAAUUUUAUAGGGAAACCAUAUGGGAGUUAAAAGAUGCUCAACUUAUGUUUGUUGAAGAUUCAUAUUGUUUUGAAGCAAACAAGCCUAUUAGUUGUAAUGUUAUUGAUUGUUGGUCAUCUUUCCUUAACAUUAUUUACACACCAAACUUAGUUAUGGCACCAUCCAGAGUAUUCUUCCAUACAAAAAUAUUGGUUAGUUAAAAUAUUAUUUUUAUUUAAAAUUAAUAUAUACUAACUUUUUGAUAUAUCCAAUCAUAAUACAGAGUAAUUAUAUUCUUGAUGAAACGAUAUCAGAUCUACACAAAUUUGAUAAGUUUAAAUCGAUAGUUCAAUAAUACAAUUUAAGGUUCUAUGACAAAUAUCCAUUUACUGACGUAGAUCUGGUAAAUAUCAUGUUUCAUUAUAUAUAGAGCUAAUAACAUUUCAUACAUUAUAUAUUUUUUAUGUUUAUACGUGCAGUUUUUUUUUCCUAUUGUUAAUGGGCCAAAAUAUUAUUUAAUAUGUUUUGAUUUGAGGAAACCUGCUUGGAUGAUCAUAGACCAUAUUUAUAAUAAUGGAGAUGUGGAAACAAUCGUAUGGAAAUAUUCCUAGAAUAUUGGUAGGGUAUGAAGUACUUUAAUUUACUAUCUUUUUAUAAUAGUAACUUAUUGAAUUAUAUUUAAUAUAUAAAUAAUUUAAUAAUAAAAAUUGUUUAUUUGUUUUAUGCAGCAUUACUUCUUCUGCCUUUAUUUAUUUUAUGUUGGUCAUGAAAAAGAAAGUGUUUUUGAAAAAUUUAGCAUAUGUGGUUGGUUUUAAGGAAAAUAUCUUAAAUGCAGUUUGAUAUGUAAAGUUAUCAUGAAUUUUGUUAUUAUGUUAUUGAUUUUAUUGUUUAUAACUUAAAUGAAGUUUGAUAUGUAAAGUAAUCUUGAAUGUUGAUAUUUCUGUUGUUAUUUACCUUAUUAUCACUAUGUUAAAUAUCAUUGAAAUAAUUUUUUGCAAAUAGUUUUCCUUUUUUUCCUGUCUGUG
rnacentral:lncRNA from 1 species